rnacentral:rRNA from 1 species
CCUACGGGAGGCAGCAGUAAGGAAUAUUGGACAAUGCUCGCAAGAGUGAUCCAGCCAUGCCGCGUGCAGGAAGAAUGCCCUAUGGGUAGUAAACUGCUUUUGAACUAGAGAAAACCCUACUACGAGUAGUAGGCUGAUAGUAUAGUUAGAAUAAGCAUCGGCUAACUUCGUGCCAGCAGCCGCGGUAAGACGAAGGAUGCAAGCGUUAUCCGGAUUCAUUGGGUUUAAAGGGAGCGUAGGUGGACAUAUAAGUCAGUGGUGAAAUCUCCGAGCUUAACUCGGAAAUUGCCAUUGAUACUGUUUGUCUUGAGUACAGUUGCUGUGGGCGGAAUAUGACAUGUAGUGGUGAAAUACAUAGAGAUGUCAUAGAACACCGAUUGCGAAGGCAGCUCACAAAGCUGUAACUGACACUGAGGCUCGAAAGUGGCGGGAGUACAACAGAUAGUAUACCUACGUAGUACGCACUAGUAACGUAAUAGUAUUACUCGUCUGCGUAGAGGGACGUAACGUUUAACGUUAGGUCGUUAGUACGAAACGACG